rnacentral:misc_RNA from 1 species
GAUGAAGAACGCAGCGAAAUGCGAUACUUGGUGUGAAUUGCAGAAUCCCGUGAACCAUCGAGUCUUUGAACGCAAGUUGCGCCCGAAGCCUCGGCUAAGGGCACGUCUGCCUGGGCGUCACGCAUCGCGUCUCCCCCAAACCGCCAAGGCGGAGGGGAAGGAAGAUGGCUUCCCGUGCCUCACCCGGGCGCGGUUGGCCUGAAUUUGGAGCCCGCGGCACUUAGCUCUCGCGGCGAUAGGUGGUGAACAAGGCCUUGGCCGUGCAAACAACCCGCUGCGAAGCUCUAUGUCACGUGCGCUCGUCGGACCCUUUGAAGUUGCCUUUGGUGACUUAAAACCUUUGCGACCCCAGGUCAGGCGGGGCUACCCGCUGAAUUUAAGCAUAUCAAUAACGGAGGA